UUCUCAUAGAAGGAAGGACCUAAUAAACCCUGAGUGAAUGAAUGAAUGAAUGAAUGGGCCCCACAGCAAACAGCCCAAUAUCAAGCACACAAUUGACCUCAAGUAAACAGAUAUUGUUUGAGGUUAUUAUGUUCCCAGGAACAUAUACUGAAAUGCUGAAGCCACACUAACAUUAAGUGGGUAAAACAUCACAUGAGUUGUUAACAACAAUAACAUCUCCCGUGCGAGUCGUCUGAUCUCCCCAGCCCUUGGGUCUCUCCUCACUGCCGCCAGACUUUGGGCACCUCCUGGAUCGCUCAACUCGGGUCCUGGGAGCACAUUUGUGAGGCCUCAAAGCUGAAAGCUACUAGACUUUCUGCUCAGGAGCUCUCAGCCCAGUGCCAGCCACAUCCCUGGACCAGGCCACGGCCAAGCAAGACUUCAGCCUCCAGUGCGAGACAGGCCUCAGCAGUGCGUGACCUGGAGUGGCAUCAAGCCAGCCUGGGGUUUCCAGGGACCUUCCUGACUGAUUCACCAGAAAGACCCUUUCAUCCCGUCCUGUGCCCCAGGUGGGACCUGCACAACGGCACUAGGCUGGAGCAGAGGUGUGGGGGUGGGGAGGCCUUUCCCACAUUGUUGGGCUGAAGGAAGUGAAGUCUUCAACGAAGACAGUGAAACAGCUGAGGGAGGCGGAGCUGGGGGAGAAGAGGAGGAUCCAGAGGUCUGAGGGGUCCCCAUCACAGUGAAGAGCCCAG
rnacentral:lncRNA from 1 species